AUGACUUCUCAUUCGAUGACAGAGUGGAAGAAAAAUUCCCGGAUAUGCAUCCCCAAAUGUGCAUUGCAUCCAGUAAUUACAUUGCUGCAAACUUCAAUUGCAACUGUACGAAAAAGUGAAAUGAAAAAAAGUUGGGGCAACCCCAACGCCGCUAAACGUCUAGAUAACGAAUAUUUUCUGCCAUCUAGCGAUGUUCAUCAAAACCCAACUAAGCAUCUGGACAACAAAUAUUUUCUGCCAGAGCCAUGCAUUAAACGUCCACUGACCAGUCCGGAUGUUCGAAUUCCCACCAAGCCAUAA
rnacentral:rRNA from 1 species